UCAUCCUUGUGAGUGACAUGGAAAAGAUUCCUAAUUACUCAUGAAUUCCAAUUGACGAUAGAUAACUCUAGAUACAUAACAUGCAUAGCACACAUGGAAUAAAUAUCAUAUGGAUAUGGCUGCCACACAAAAGAAAAGAUAGAAAGGCAGAAUAUAUUUCAUGUUGAAGAUUCGAAAUUGAUCAACGCACUCACUACUAUAUUAUUGCAAGUUAAGAGAAUUAUCAGAACCUUAAGUGUAUAUGUUAAACUGAUGGUUGCAGAGGCUCAUCAAAAUCCUAGGUAGAUCGUUUGAUCAUCGAUUUACUUAUUUAUGAAGGCAAAAUGCAAGAAUACAAGAUCAAAUAGACAAUUAUUAUGUUCAUAUAACACGUGUAGCCUACUUAGUAUUUCUUUGAGAUGCUCACCCUUAUUUAACCCUUUUCAGAAUAAUCGGAGAUCCAGUGGUGGAUUGGCAUGAAUGGCACAUACUAUUUUUAGAGAAAUUUAUUCUUAUGUUUUAUAUUGCCACUAUUUUUUUACAUUUUGCUAUGGCCGAUAAAUUCGGGAUAUUUUAAAUUAGUGUUUCUUGAAAACUUGAAGCUGAUCUGAUGAUGAACUUGCUUAA